CCCAUAUCGCGCGUUCUAUAUUCGUGCAAUCUAAUUCCUAGUAUAAAAAGCUACUUCAUACACCAAGCUAAUCAACCAAAAUUUUUUUUUUUUAAUUACUGCUAUCAGAUCUUUUGUUUACUUUAUUUUUAAAGCCUCCCUGCAUUUCCCACUUAAUUUUAUCAGACAGAAAGCAAGUUUGCUUCCCACUUGCAAUACCCACAUGGCAUAGGUUGUACGAGUGGAUUUAUAGCUACUAAUGGUGUGUUCUGUCAGUGAAAGUAAUAAUAUGAAAUUGCAGGAAGGAGAUUCAGAGCGGGAACAAUCUGCCCAAAGAAAAUUAUGUGUAAAAGAGGAUUGAAAUGAACCCAAAUGGAACUGUAAGCUCAAGUGACGUUGCUGAGUUAAAAGAUUGGAAGCUGCAAUUUUCGAGGGGAACGUAUCUCAAGUUGUCUGCCUCAUGCAGAUUUUUAGCAGAUGUAAGGAGGAGGAGAAAGAGAAGCUUAUGAAGAUAAAUAUGAUCAAAAUUUGUUUGCCUAGUUGUAUAAUUAGUUAAAAUUUAGUAUGAUAUAAAUACGAAAAUGCUUUGUAAAAUAUCACAAGCUUAAUGUAAAUACAUAUUAUAUAAAUUAUUCUAAAUUUAAGGUGAA